AAUGACGUUACCUACAGAAGAAGCACCGGCUAACUCCGUGCCAGCAGCCGCGGUAAUACGGAGGGUGCAAGCGUUAAUCGGAAUUACUGGGCGUAAAGCGUGCGUAGGCGGUUUUCUAAGUCGGAUGUGAAAGCCCCGGGCUCAACCUGGGAACUGCAUCCGAUACUGGGGGACUAGAAUCUGGGAGAGGGGAGUGGAAUUUCCGGUGUAGCGGUGAAAUGCAUAGAGAUCGGAAGGAACACCAGUGGCGAAGGCGACUCCCUGGACCAAGAUUGACGCUAAGGCACGAAAGCGUGGGUAGCAAACAGGAUUAGAUACCCUGGUAGUCCACGCCGUAAACGAUGUCAACUAGCCGUCGGUUUCAUACAAGAGAUCGGUGGUGCAGCUAACGCAUUAAGUUGACCGCCUGGGAAGUACGGUCGCAAGACUAAAACUCAAAGGAAUUGAC
rnacentral:rRNA from 1 species